rnacentral:rRNA from 1 species
AUUGAACGCUGGCGGCAUGCCUUACACAUGCAAGUCGAACGGCAGCACGGGAGCUUGCUCCUGGUGGCGAGUGGCGAACGGGUGAGUAAUGCAUCGGAACGUGCCCUGAAGUGGGGGAUAACGUAGCGAAAGUUACGCUAAUACCGCAUAUUCUGUGAGCAGGAAAGCAGGGGAUCUUCGGACCUUGCGCUUUUGGAGCGGCCGAUGUCGGAUUAGCUAGUUGGUGGGGUAAAGGCCCACCAAGGCGACGAUCCGUAGCGGGUCUGAGAGGAUGAUCCGCCACACUGGAACUGAGACACGGUCCAGACUCCUACGGGAGGCAGCAGUGGGGAAUUUUGGACAAUGGGCGCAAGCCUGAUCCAGCCAUGCCGCGUGAGUGAAGAAGGCCUGUGU